rnacentral:lncRNA from 1 species
AGGAAAAUAAUAGAAAAAAUAAAACACAAAAAUAAAGAAAAACAGAAACAAAAAGAAUAAAUAAAAAACAUUUAUCAUAUUUUAAAAUAAAAAUAAGAAUAAAAUAGUAAUAAUAAUUUUUAAAAGUAAGAAAGAAUCCUUUCCAAUAUAUUCCACUUCUCAGGCUUUUUGUGUCCUUUUCUCUUCCAAUCAUUCUUAUCUAAAUAAGCAAGCUUAGUAAAUUAGAGCUAGAAAUAUCAUUAAUAAUCACAAAAGAGUAACUAGUGAUCACUGAGAAGUCAAGUGAUUUUCCCAGAGACUGACACAUCAGAAACAGGGUUUAAACCCUGGUUUCCCUGUUUCCAAGACUAGCUCAUUAUCCAUUAUGACACACUAACUUCCACAACUUUCAUCCAUGCCUUUCCACCAGUACUCUAUUAUUGGCCCACCAAAUGUAUCAGAGAUCUUUCUCUCAGGAACAUCCUGGCUGGGAAGAUUUAUGAAUAACUGAUAAAAUACAGUAUAUUACAUCAUGAGAACUGUGCCCACUUGGAAAACAUAACUAAGGGAGUAUUAAGCAAACCAUCUCACUGAACAAUGUCUUCACAGACGACUGAACUUUGACAUAAGUAGAGCUUCAGCACCAUCUCGACUGGACAAUAACUUCACAAGCUCCUGGCUACAACCCCAGCUCCUGGCUCUGGCUCCUGCUCCUGGAUAUUGUGCUCACCUGGUCCCAGCACUGCCCACCCCUGUGGUCUCUCUUGCUCACUUGCUCAUCUAGCCCAGCUGAUCCCAGCCCCAGCAACUCUGGCCUCCAACCCAGAUGGCUCAUCACCCCAGGACCCAGACUUCUGGUAGCAGACCCAAUUUCUUCAGGAUCAAAAACCAGCUGGUAAAAAAGUGGGGGUGUUUUUUCUUUAGGCUAGAAUUAGCCACCAGGUGAACUGGGGGCAGGAGAUCACAGUGAGGGAGAAAGACGGGAAGAAGGAAGAG